rnacentral:misc_RNA from 1 species
UGUUUAUUCCGAUAAACAUCCGAGAGACGCACUGGUAUCUUGCUGUGAUCCAUGCAAGAAAUAUGGAGAUACAAGUGCUCGAUUCACUUGGUACUUCACAAGACCGCAUAGACCUCACUGACUCUAUUAAAGGACUGCAAAGACAAAUAGAUAUGAUAUCUCAACGUAAGGAGUUAAAAGACCACAGGUGGCCAGACCUCCAAGUUGCUUCUUGGCCGCUCAGAGAAAUAGACAUGGGAUAUGCAAAGCAGACAGAUAGCUCUUCAUGUGGCCUCUUUCUUUUGAACUAUAUCGAAUACUGGACAGGGGAUGAACUGUCUGACAGUUUUACCCAGGAUGACAUGUCACACUUUAGGAAAAAAAUGGCUGCUAUAUUACUAUCUUCAGACCUGAAUAAGAGAAGGGGGUGUUUGUUAUACAAAAAUGAAAAAGAAGUUGACUCUGGAAGCCCAUCUGAUGUUGAGAUAUUAGAAAACCCAACAGAUUCUAAUAAGAGGAAACUACUCCACGUGCUUGAUGAUAGCGAAGUAGUGUAUGAAGAUGAGGAAGGCCCUAUUACUCAAGCAGACUUGCAAAGGUGGUUUGUUGAUGAUUGGGAUAAAAGAGCUCCUGUAAAAGUCUCUACCGAUGGUUGCACCAAUGACUUUUUAAUGGUUGGUCUUUCCACAAAGGACAUGCCAGUGACCAAAGCCGAUUCAAUAGAUGUUUUAUGUGAUUAUAUCAUGGCAAUAGAAGACGAUACGACACUAGAG